ACGAACGCUGGCGGCGUGCUUAACACAUGCAAGUCGAACGGAAAGGCCCUGCUUUUGUGGGGUGCUCGAGUGGCGAACGGGUGAGUAACACGUGAGUAACCUGCCCUUGACUUUGGGAUAACUUCAGGAAACUGGGGCUAAUACCGGAUAGGAGCUCCUGCUGCAUGGUGGGGGUUGGAAAGUUUCGGCGGUUGGGGAUGGACUCGCGGCUUAUCAGCUUGUUGGUGGGGUAGUGGCUUACCAAGGCUUUGACGGGUAGCCGGCCUGAGAGGGUGACCGGCCACAUUGGGACCGAGAUACGGCCCAGACUCCUACGGGAGGCAGCAGUGGGGAAUAUUGCACAAUGGGCGGAAGCCUGAUGCAGCAACGCCGCGUGCGGGAUGACGGCCUUCGGGUUGUAAACCGCUUUCGCCUGUGACGAAGCGUGAGUGACGGUAAUGGGUAAAGAAGCACCGGCUAACUACGUG
rnacentral:rRNA from 1 species